GAGCGAAUCGAGAGAUAUUGAACGUUUGAAUAGUGGUUGGAUUUAAAUUGCUCAGGCGUGCAAAAUUCAAAGUGUCAUUACAUAAUUUUUACGGAACAUUAUCGCGAAAUGAAUUAUCUACACAGAUAUUCAGUUCCAUUGUCGGGCCUGAAACGACUGAGCGGUACAGUUUUCUAUUGAAGUCGACCUGUGAGGCUCCAUUCAUGUGACGUUUAACCGAUGCUGAAAAUAAUAUGACGAACAGGCACUUAUAUUUUCAUUACGCAUUAAGCAGAUGCCUAACCAAUACGGAUAAUACUGGAAAGAUUUGUGCGUUUCCAGCUAAUACCUGAAACGGCACCGGAUCAUAUCAGUAAAUAUUGACUGUUUUGAGACUUCAGUGCCCUAACAUCUGACUUUGAAGUUUGAGAUAGAAUAUGAAUGUCACGACUGACCGAUGUUUUUCGGGUUUAAAACUGCAGAGAAGAAGAGAAGAAGGAGAGUCGUGUGUUUUUAUCUGUAACUGUUCACUCUGGUAAUGAAGACAGAUACAAUGUUGAGUCUGGAGGGGAUAAUUUAUUGUUUUAGGUGGACUGCAACAAUCAUGAAAAUGAAAAAGCCACCGAUCAACCAUUAGAUAGCUGUUUACGUUUAGAAUGUUCAGUUGAAAUUGUUGUCAAUAAUAAUAAUUAUAUGAGUGCAAAAUAGGUGACAACAAAUAUAGGACAAGAACUGGCUACAAACGAUAUUCAGUAAGCCGCAUAUUUGUUACAUUUGUUUAAACUUGUAAGAACAUUUUUGCAUCAAAAUUUAAGGUUUGUUGUAGAUACCAAAAACAUAAUUAUAAGUUAUGCUGUGUAUUGUUAUUGUCUAUAGAUUUUGUUGAAGUCUGUCAAUGCCUAUGUUACUGAAAUUAUAGAGAUUUACCAGUAGUUCAAUAAUGUUUGGAAAUAUGUAAUUGAUUAUAUGCAUGUGGGUAUACGGCAUAAUUUAUCACUCUAAUGAAAAUAGUGAAACUGUGCCGACAGUGGUAUACAGUGUACUAAUUAUUGGAAUCCUGUAUUUGUCGAGUUCCAUAAUUAGUUUCUUAAUACUGUUAGGAGACAGUGUUCAUAUCAAUUAAACAUAAAUCAACAUGAAUGUAUGAUACCCCUUAUCUUGUCAUGUUUCCUUUGUACAUAAUUGUUACCAUGACAUACAUCUUUUAAUGUUAAAUGACAUGAUUUUAAAUUUAAUCUUAAGAACUCUUAAAUAUUUUAAUAAAACCGUAUUCAUUUCUCUAUAUUUUUAAUUAGUUUUAGAAAAUAUUUGAAACAAAGAUUUGAUUUGAUAAACAAAAGAGUUUCACUAGGUGGUAAAAAUCUAUGAUUUGAGAUAAAGUUUCACAUUAUUGAAUUUGAUUUGUACAAAACAUGUUGA